CUGCGCACCGCUUACGAUAGAGUAAUUCAACUAUGGCAGAGGAAGCAGCUCAGAAUGAGACAGAAUAUGAUUUUCGCGACUAUCAAGGUGGUUAAAGGAUGGGAUUUCCCACAAUUCGUCGCAAUGGGCGCGGAGCAACGUCAAGCGAUACGCCGCGCACUUAACGAGGACGCAGAGAAGCUGCUAAGUGAAGGCGACGCCGCCGACCCUCAACU